AGUGAACGCUGGCGGUAGGCCUAACACAUGCAAGUCGAACGGCAGCACAGUAAGAGCUUGCUCUUACGGGUGGCGAGUGGCGGACGGGUGAGGAAUACAUCGGAAUCUACUUUUUCGUGGGGGAUAACGUAGGGAAACUUACGCUAAUACCGCAUACGACCUACGGGUGAAAGCAGGGGAUCUUCGGACCUUGCGCGAUUGAAUGAGCCGAUGUCGCAUUAGCUAGUUGGCGGGGUAAAGGCCCACCAAGGCGACGAUCCGUAGCUGAUCUGAGAGGAUGAUCAGCCACACUGGAACUGAGACACGGUCCAGACUCCUACGGGAGGCAGCAGUGGGGAAUAUUGGGCAAUGGGCGCAAGCCUGAUCCAGCCAUACCGCGUGGGUGAAGAAGGCCUUCGGGUUGUAAAGCCCUUUUGUUGGGAAAGAAAAGCAGCAGGUUAAUACCCCGCUGUUCUGACGGUACCCAAUGAAUAAGCACCGGCUAACUUCGUG
rnacentral:rRNA from 1 species